AGAAUCAACGCUGGCGGCGUGCCUAACACAUGCAAGUCGAACGAGAAAGUGGAGCAAUCCAUGAGUAAAGUGGCGACCGGGUGAGUAACACGUGACUAACCUACCUUUGAGUGGGGGAUAACAUCGGGAAACCGAUGCUAAUACCGCAUAACAUCGCAAGAUCAAAGCAGCAAUGCGCUUAAAAGAGGGGGUCGCGGCUGAUUAGCUAGUUGGCGGGGUAACGCCCACAAGGCGAAGAUCGAUA
rnacentral:rRNA from 1 species